UGUUUUAUUUUGGAUUACAGAGGAGUUGGUGAGAGUUUUUCUCUUCGUUUGUGAGUGCUCUUCUCUCCUUUUGUGGGAGCUCUCUCUCUCUCUCUCUCUCUCUCUCUCUCUGUGCGAGAGCUCUUUCCUUUUCCUCUUUUUCAGAUCCGAUUUUGCUUUCAAUCUCAACCUUGAAGCUCCUUUCUUUCAACCCCAUACUUUCCAUAUUCCCAUCAGUUUUCUACAUCUACUUCCUUUUCUCCCGUUUUCUUCCCCAUCACCCUUCCUUCUCUUAAUCAAACAUUAGAUCUUGAAGUUUUGGAUCCGAUUUGUUGGGGAUUAGGAGUUGUUAGGACUAGGAGAUGAACUCGUUGAGAUACAAUCUCCAUUAUAUUUUUUUUUUCUGAAUUAUUAACUUUCUAUUUCUAUUUGUGCUGAAGGUUCACAGCUCGGAGGCUGGUGUCAUGCGAUGAAGUUUGGAAGCUGGUGCAUGUAGGUGUGUACGUAACAUACUAGGGCGUUUGAGACUAGAAAAUUGGUUUGAGUUUGCCAAGUAACCAAAGGUCCAAAGUCCCAGAAGACGUUGAUUCACAAAAACUGGGAGAAGCCUAGAAAGUGUUGAAAUAAAACACUCUCUGUGUUGAUUAUGAAUAAUGUGGCAGUACUCCUCAUUUUCUUGGAUGGAAGCAAUUAAAACUAACCAAGGCUUCAAAUUAUCCAAGAUUUGUAAUCUCUAAAAACAUAAAUUAUAAAUUUGAACUCAGAAUUUGGGUGCUCAGGAUUAGCGCCCAUUUUAAAAAAAAAGUAAUUUGGAAUAUGGACACCGAUAACAAUGAGCAUCUUUUCUGACAUAGGCACAUAAAGAUUAAAUUAAUUAGGAGCUGACUCUAUUAAAUAAUUUAAAAUUUCUACCACCGACUUGUAAACAUUUCGUGGCUGUCUGGUGGCUAUUAGGUCUUGACA